rnacentral:lncRNA from 1 species
AAAACAAGAUCCCACCAGUACUCAUAAUUAUAUAAACAUAAAAAUCUGAAUUAAAUAAAAUUGUGUAAGUAGUUUAAAUAUACCGUAAGAUAGCAUUUACUUUUUGAUUUCAGAGUUUACAAAAAUGCAAAUUAGUGUCAAGAGAGUUGGAGAAGGAGAAAUUAUAUGAAGUGAACAAGCACGAAUGUGUUAUACUAAUGGAACGUUGGCAAUCAGAUGAAUGUAUGAAUGCCAUAAUGGGAUUUUUCUCAAGUAAAGGAUCAAAACUGUGAUUUAUAUACCUAACUUAUUUAUUAAUAAAAAAUUAUAUUAUA